GCGAGUAUGGCCCUCACGGGUCUAAUCCACCACAAACACCUUUGUGAACCAGUCAGGGGGGACUCGGCCGUGAAAGCCCAGGCGAUUAGCGGAAGGGCCCUCCUUUGCAAACCCGUUUAGAAGUCUUGAAAGUACUUUUGUAUAAUCUAGUA
rnacentral:misc_RNA from 1 species